rnacentral:rRNA from 1 species
GACGAACGCUGGCGGCGUGCCUAAUACAUGCAAGUAGAACGCUGAAGAGAGGGGCUUGCUCUUCUUGGAUGAGUUGCGAACGGGUGAGUAACGCGUAGGUAACCUGCCUUGUAGCGGGGGAUAACUAUUGGAAACGAUAGCUAAUACCGCAUAACAAUGGAUGACACAUGUCAUUUAUUUGAAAGGGGCAAUUGCUCCACUACAAGAUGGACCUGCGUUGUAUUAGCUAGUAGGUGAGGUAAUGGCUCACCUAGGCGACGAUACAUAGCCGACCUGAGAGGGUGAUCGGCCACACUGGGACUGAGACACGGCCCAGACUCCUACGGGAGGCAGCAGUAGGGAAUCUUCGGCAAUGGGGGCAACCCUGACCGAGCAACGCCGCGUGAGUGAAGAAGGUUUUCGGAUCGUAAAGCCCUGUUGUAAGUCAAGAACGGGUGUGAGAGUGGAAAGUUCACACUGUGACGGUAGCUUACCAGAAAGGGACGGCUAACUACGUG